rnacentral:rRNA from 1 species
GUAAACGGCGGCCGUAACUAUAACGGUCCUAAGGUAGCGAAAUUCCUUGUCGGGUAAGUUCCGACCUGCACGAAUGGCGUAAUGAUGGCCAGGCUGUCUCCACCCGAGACUCAGUGAAAUUGAACUCGCUGUGAAGAUGCAGUGUACCCGCGGCAAGACGGAAAGACCCCGUGAACCUUUACUAUAGCUUGACACUGAACAUUGAGCCUUGAUGUGUAGGAUAGGUGGGAGGCUUUGAAGUGUGGACGCCAGUCUGCAUGGAGCCGACCUUGAAAUACCACCCUUUAAUGUUUGAUGUUCUAACGUUGACCCGUAAUCCGGGUUGCGGACAGUGUCUGGUGGGUAGUUUGACUGGGGCGGUCUCCUCCUAAAGAGUAACGGAGGAGCACGAAGGUUGGCUAAUCCUGGUCGGACAUCAGGAGGUUAGUGCAAUGGCAUAAGCCAGCUUGACUGCGAGCGUGACGGCGCGAGCAGGUGCGAAAGCAGGUCAUAGUGAUCCGGUGGUUCUGAAUGGAAGGGCCAUCGCUCAACGGAUAAAAGGUACUCCGGGGAUAACAGGCUGAUACCGCCCAAGAGUUCAUAUCGACGGCGGUGUUUGGCACCUCGAUGUCGGCUCAUCACAUCCUGGGGCUGAAGUAGGUCCCAAGGGUAUGGCUGUUCGCCAUUUAAAGUGGUACGCGAGCUGGGUUUAGAACGUCGUGAGACAGUUCGGUCCCUAUCUGCCGUGGGCGCUGGAGAACUGAGGGGGGCUGCUCCUAGUACGAGAGGACCGGAGUGGACGCAUCACUGGUGUUCGGGUUGUCAUGCCAAUGGCACUGCCCGGUAGCUAAAUGCGGAAGAGAUAAGUGCUGAAAGCAUCUAAGCACGAAACUUGCC